rnacentral:lncRNA from 1 species
AUGGAUUUGAGAUUUGUAUACCGUGAAGGUUAUUGGAAGAACUCAAGGGAAAUGCGACUAUUCACAUGCAAAUGGUUGCCUAUUUCUUCUUCUCCCAAGGCUCUUAUUUUCCUUUGUCAUGGUUCAAUUCCAUCUCUUUACUCUUUUCAAUCUCUUCAUUAUUUGGUGUUGUGUAAUGUAAUUAAAUUAAUGCUGGUAUUGUUGAUUGUUUAUUGUAGGCUAUGGAAUGGAAUGCAGUAG